UGGGGAAUAUUGGGCAAUGGGCGAAAGCCUGACCCAGCAACGCCGCGUGAAGGAAGAAGGCCUUCGGGUUGUAAACUUCUUUGACGAGGGAAGAAAGAAAUGACGGUACCUCGAAAACAAGCCACGGCUAACUACGUGCCAGCAGCCGCGGUAAUACGUAGGUGGCGAGCGUUGUCCGGAUUUACUGGGUGUAAAGGGCGUGUAGGCGGGCCUGCAAGUCAGAUGUGAAAUGCGGAGGCUUAACCUCCGAGCUGCAUUUGAAACUGCGGGUCUUGAGUGAUGGAGAGGCAGGCGGAAUUCCUAGUGUAGCGGUGAAAUGCGUAGAUAUUAGGAGGAACACCAGUGGCGAAGGCGGCUUUCUGGACGACAACUGACGCUGAGGCGCGAAAGCGUGGGGAGCAAACAGG
rnacentral:rRNA from 2 species